ACACGACUCUCGGCAACGGAUAUCUCGGCUCUCGCAUCGAUGAAGAACGUAGCGAAAUGCGAUACCUGGUGUGAAUUGCARAAUCCCGCGAACCAUCGAGUCUUUGAACGCAAGUUGCGCCCRAGGCCACCUGGCYGAGGGCACGCCUGCCUGGGCGUCACGC
rnacentral:rRNA from 1 species